UACGUAGGGGGCAAGCGUUGUCCGGAAUCAUUGGGCGUAAAGCGCAUGUAGGCGGCUGGACAAGUCGUGUGUUAAAGCCCCUGGCUCAACUGGGGGAGGUCAUGCGAGACUGUACGGCUGGAGGGCAACAGAGGCACGUGGAACUCCCGGUGUAGCGGUGGAAUGCGUAGAGAUCGGGAAGAACACCAGUGGCGAAGGCGACGUGCUGGGUUGCACCUGACGCUGAGAUGCGAAAGUGUGGGGAGCAAACGGG
rnacentral:rRNA from 1 species